GACGAACGCUGGCGGCGUGCCUAAUACAUGCAAGUAGGACGCAGUUGCGAACGGGUGAGUAAAGCGUAGGUAACUACCUAUUAGAGGGGGAUAACUAUUGGCAACGAUAGCUAAUACCGAAUACUACUAGAUGGACCUGCGUUGUAUUAGCUAGUAGGUAGGGUAAUGGCCUACCUAGGCAACGCUACAUAACAGAGCGGAGAGGGUGAUCGGCCACACUGGGACGGAGACACGGCCCAGACUCCGACGGGAGGCAGCAGUAGGGAAGCUUCGGCAAUGGGGGGAACCCUGACCGAGCAACGCCGCGUGAGGGAAGAAGGUUUUCGGAUCGUAAAGCUCUGUUGUUAAGGAAGCGGUACUUAACCAGAAAGGGACGGCUAACUACGUGCCAGCAGCCGCGGUAAUAC
rnacentral:rRNA from 1 species